UACAGAGGGUGCGAGCGUUGUCCGGAAUCACUGGGCGUAAAGGGCGCGUAGGCGGCCUGAUAAGUAGGGGGUGAAAUCUUGCGGCUCAACCGCAAGGCUGCCUUCUAAACUGUCAGGCUGGAGCACGGUAGAGGCAGAUGGAAUUCCGGGUGUAGCGGUGGAAUGCGUAGAGAUCCGGAAGAACACCGGUGGCGAAGGCGGUCUGCUGGGGUAAUGCUGACACUGAUGCGCGACAGCGUGGGGAGCAAACAGG
rnacentral:rRNA from 1 species